CUGUGCUGCAUCAUCACAUUGCUUUUAUUUCUGGUUAUUCCCAUGGUAACACAGAACUAUUCCAACAUAGAUGCAUUCUGAGCUAAUCUUUUACUUAGAAAGAAUACCAUGAAUCACAAAAGGGUAAGCCUGUAAGGACAUUUGCUUGAUGGGUCUCAUAUAGAUAAUGGGUAUCCCCCAAGAGAAGGACAGCUCAAGAUGUAUAUCAGCAGAGACUGUGACCUUGAACAUGUUGGAGACCCAGAGAGAAAAGGUGAAGGUGAAGAGAGAAUGUGAAAGAAUCACUGGACAUGGGGAGAAGGCACAGAGGACCCUCGAGUACAACUUUGCCAGUUUUUUUGCCUGAACAAGCCUGACAUGUACUUAGGGCUUCUCCAACAUGCUCUAAUAAACCUAUCACUGGGAAAGCUCA
rnacentral:lncRNA from 1 species